CUUAAAGAAAGGAAUCAUGAACCACUUACAUACUCUAUGAGUUUGAUAAAAAAAAAUUAAAUUUUGAAUUUCACUGUCAGAUGGAUGAAGUUGUGGAGCAGAAAAGUUGCAGUAUAUGUUUUCAAAAGGUCCCUUGAGAGAUCACUACUCCAAUUCCCUGCCCAAAGCAUCAUCAGGUGAAAAGCCUUUAUAUUCCCAGUGACAUCCCCAUAGGUGGUGUGAAGAUGCUCUUAGAUUGUCCCAAAGUUGCCUCUUCUCCACACUGAACAAACCUGACUCCUUCAGCCCCUGCUGGUCAAGUUUAUCAAACUGACAAUUUCCCUCAUCUUACUGAUCUCUUAAUACUUCAAAGAUUUUAGUUUGACUGUAUAAUAAUUACUAUCAUGAAUCUAAGAUUUGUAUAAUAGAAUUCUAUGUGUCUCAUAGAAAUAUUAGUAAAGCAUUUCAGAUAUACUGUGAUUAUUGGUAACAAUUUCUAACAAAGGGAGUCUAAUUUCUAAGAAAACCUUCCUAAAAGAUAAUAUGAGAACUCACAAUUCUUAAAUUAAUUUUUUUGCUGCAUUUUUUAAUGUAAUGAAUGCCAUUAAUUUCCACUGAAUUUAGCAUGAAUAACCUAACAACUUUAAAGUAGUCCACAAAUUUCCAUAUAACAUAAGUAGCAUUUAUUAUGUGAGUAUACACACUCAUAUAUAAUAUAUAUGUAUAUAUGCAAGUAUAUGGCAUCAUGUGGGAUCCUUCCAACUCAGCAUAUUCUGUGACUUUGUAAUUUGAUAUAGAGACAUGACUAGUUCCUUUGAAUUAGUGUGUGGAAUCACCUUCAUUCACAAUGUGCACACAAAUAUAAAAAGUAGAAUAUUUUCAAACUUCCACAGAAUUUAUAAUUCAAAGUGUUAGUAUUUUUUCCCUGCAUAGAUUAUUCCAGAGAUUUCUUGUUUACAGAAAAGAAGAUGCCCCAAAUUUGAUUUAGUGAAAUAUAACAGCAGCUUGUUACUAAUUUGUGGUCAAAGCACAAUUUUCAUGCAACAUGAGUUCCUCUUUAAUGUAAUUUUCAUGAAAUCAUCCUUCAGGAUGUGUGCAUCCUUCAGGUCAGUAAGACAGUGAUUCAGAAGACCUUAUUCUCUAAGGAAAAAAAAAGUCUAUAUGUAUUCCUAUUUGAAAUCGUGUGCACAAGGAGUCAUCAAACCUACUGUUUCCUUCAGUACAUCAUUAAUUUUUGUAGGCUUAGAAAGUGCACUUUGGUCCUAAUUUAAAUUUAUGGUGUUCAGCAAAUUGUUUAUUAUGAUUGGUUCUUUAACAGGAAAGUUUAGGGCUGAAAUUAAGUUAUCUGAAUAUUACUUUAUCAAAGCGAUGAAAUAUAUUGAAAUACACUCAGGGUAUUUCAGAUACUGAAAUUAAAGUUCCAGUUAUCUACCAUAGGCAAAACUUUCAAGAAAAAUGUUGAACAGGCAGUUUCUGAAAGCUAUCUGUUAUGAAGGUAUUUGCUUAUUUAUUCUUGUUUUCAACUUUGAGUCAUCGCUGUUUCUUUUGUAGGUGGAAGUAAUGACAACACUGAAAGAGCUUUGAGAGACUAUUCUCUGGUUCAGUGAACUGAAAAUUACACAACCUCUCUUGAGGUUCUGUUUAAAUUUUUGAAGUGGUUAUACAAAAUCUUCAAAGAUGUUUGCAUUCAAAUGAGACAGAGUAGAAAAUAAACUGGGGAUAUAUCUAGCUUACCUUAUCCACUUAGGUUGUCCUAUGGAUGUUAAUGACUCAAUUUAACAUGAAAAAUAUAUGAAAAUAAAUUUUAUUAUAUUAAAUUUGUAGUCAGCAGCACAAGAUGCUUUCAAUUCAUGAAAGAAAUAUUUUUUUAAUAGUGUUGUUAUAAAAUCAAUUAUUGUGUAGUACUUUCUUUAAUAGUCUUUAUGUGAAUAAUUUUUAGAUUUCAUAGUACUUUUCUAUGUUGAGGGGGUGACCUAGAAUAUUCCAAAGAUGUUUUCAGAGAGUGAAGUGUGGGAGGGGAUGUUUCCAAAUGUUUAUGACUGUUUCCUCAGCAGUUUUCCAAUAAAGCUUUUUGUGUGCUUUUUUUA